CGUGUAGGCGGUCAGGUAAGUGGAAUGUGAAAUGCCCCGGCUCACCCGGGGACCGGCAUCCCAAACUGCCUGGCUUGAGUAUGGGAGAGGAUGGAGGAAUUCCUGGUGUAGCGGUGAAAUGCGUAGAUAUUAGGAGGAACACCGGUGGCGAAGGCGUCCAUCUGGCCCAAUACUGACGCUGAGGCGCGAAAGCUAGGGGAGCAAACG
rnacentral:rRNA from 1 species